CUCUCUCCUGGCUGGGGGUUUGCAGUGCCCAUCCCGAGUGUGCUCAGGUUUCCCGAGGUCUGUGCUGCUCUUCAGGGAGCAGAGAGGAG